GACGAACGCUGGCGGCGUGCUUAACACAUGCAAGUCGAACGGAAAGGCCCUGCUUGCAGGGUACUCGAGUGGCGAACGGGUGAGUAACACGUGGGUGAUCUGCCCUGCACUUCGGGAUAAGCCUGGGAAACUGGGUCUAAUACCGGAUAGGAGCCAUUUUUAGUGUGAUGGUUGGAAAGUUUUUUCGGUGUAGGAUGAGCUCGCGGCCUAUCAGCUUGUUGGUGGGGUAAUGGCCUACCAAGGCGGCGACGGGUAGCCGGCCUGAGAGGGUGGACGGCCACAUUGGGACUGAGAGACGGCCCAGACGCCUACGGGAGGCAGCAGUGGGGAAUAUUGCACAAUGGGCGCAAGCCGGAUGCAGCGACGCCGCGUGGGGGAUGACGGCCUUCGGGUUGUAAACGCCUUUCGCUAGGGACGAAGCUUUUUGUGACGGUACCUAGAGAAGAAGCACCGGCUAACUACGUG
rnacentral:rRNA from 1 species